rnacentral:miRNA from 1 species
UGGUUAACUUACACCUGCCCCC